rnacentral:rRNA from 1 species
AUGAGGGCCAAAGAUUCAUAUUUCUACUGGAGAAUCAAACUUGAUGAUGAGGACAGGGUUGAGAAGUUGUUAUGGAUAGAUGGCGCAUCACGCAGGGCAUAUGCAAAGUAUAAUGAAUGUUUGUCGUUUGACACGACAUACAUGACAAACAUGUACAAGAUGCCUCAAUCCAUCCAGUUUGGGUGUGGCUUCGUUCGAAACGAACUAAAGGAAAACUUUGUCUGGCUGUUUAACACAUUCCUCCAUGCAAUGGGUGGUGUUGCCCCUAAAAACAUCAUCACAGACUGGGACUUUGCAAUGAGGAGUGCAAUCGACGAGGUCUUCUUGAACAUAAUACACAGAAAUUACCGCUGGCAUAUAAUGAAGAAGGCGCAGGAGAAACUUGGAAAACUUAUGGCUGAUGAUAAACCACUAAACAGAGCAUUCAAAGACUGUGUCGACAACAACUUGACUGAGGAAGAGUUUGAAAACAAAUGGUGGGCAAUGAUGGAUGAACAUGGCCAGAUCGACAAUGAAAAUUUUCAAUGGCUGUGGGAAAAUAGGAAAUGUUGGGCCCCAAUGUACUACAUGAAGCAUUUCUUUCCAUUCUUGCAGACAACUGCAAGGAGCGAGGGAUUCAAUACUGUGCUCAAGAAGUACGUGAACCCCAACAACUCAUUGAUUGAAUUCGCAACUCAAUACACUGCAAUCCAGGAGAAAGUAAUGGUGGCUGUGGCGAAAGAGCAAGUGGACACAAUUUACAAAGAGGCAGACAUGUAUUCGUUGAACCCAGUCAAGUUACAGAUGCGAGGGAUAUACACACAAAAUCUGUUCUCCAAGUUCCAGGUAGAGAUGAAGCUAAAGACUGCUUACGGAUGCGACACUUUGCAAGAUGGAACCUUCAGGAUGUGGUCGCUCUGA